CAACGUAGGACCCCGGUCUAACCACCGGGGGAUGGUUCAUAACCCUUUGUUGUCCGACUCUGUUGCCUCCGGGGCGACCCUGCCUUCGGGCGGGGGCUCCGGGUGGACACUUCAAACUCUUGCGUAACUUUGCAGUCUGAGUAAACUUAAUUAAUAAAUUA
rnacentral:misc_RNA from 1 species